rnacentral:rRNA from 1 species
CAGCAGCCACGGUAAUACGGAGGGUGCAAGCGUUAAUCGGAAUUACUGGGCGUAAAGCGCACGCAGGCGGUCUGACAAGUCAGAUGUGAAAUCCCCGGGCUUAACCUGGGAACUGCAUUUGAAACUGUCAGGCUGGAGUCUUGUAGAGGGGGGUGGAAUUCCAGGUGUAGCGGUGAAAUGCGUAGAGAUCUGGAGGAAUACCGGUGGCGAAGGCGGCCCCCUGGACAAAGACUGACGCUCAGGUGCGAAAGCGUGGGGAGCAAACAGGAUUAGAUACCCCGGUAGUCCCUGUCCUUAUACA